GCAAUCGCCUGCAUGAAGUCGGAAUUGCUAGUAAUCGCAGAUCAGCAUGCUCGCGGUGAAUACGUUCCCGGGCCUUGUACACACCGCCCGUCACACCAUGGGAGUCGGUAACACCCGAAGUCGGUAGCCUAACCGUAAGGAGGGCGCCGCCGAAGGUGGGAUUGAUGACUGGGGUGAAGUCGUAACAAGGUAGC
rnacentral:rRNA from 1 species